AAUCAACGCUGGCGGCGUGCCUCAGACAUGCAAGUCGAACGAUUAAACUUUCCUUCGGGAAAGAUAUAAAGUGGCGCACGGGUGAGUAACACGUAGGUAAUGUACCUUUGGGUGGGGAAUAACCAUCGGAAACGAUGGCUAAUACCGCAUAAUGCAGCGGCAUCGCAAGAUGACAGUUGUUAAAGAUUUAUCGCCUAAAGAGCAGCCUGCGGCAGAUUAGGAGUUGGUAAGGUAAUGGCUUACCAAGCCUGCGAUCUGUAACCGACCUGAGAGGGUGGUCGGUCACACUGACACUGAAUAACGGGUCAGACUCCUACGGGAGGCAGCAGUCGGGAAUUUUGGGCAAUGGGCGAAAGCCUGACCCAGCAACGCCGCGUGAAGGACGAAGUCUUUCGGGA
rnacentral:rRNA from 1 species